CCUACGGGUGGCAGCAGUGAGGAAUAUUGGUCAAUGGCCGUAAGGCUGAACCAGCCAAGUCGCGUGAAGGAAGAAGGAUCUAUGGGUUGUAAACUUCUUUUAUCGGGGAAUAAAGGUAUCCACGUGUGGAUAUUUGCAUGUACCCUAUGAAUAAGCAUCGGCUAACUCCGUGCCAGCAGCCGGGGGAAUACCGAGGAUGCGAACGUUAUUCGGAUUUAUUGGGGUUAAAGGGUGCGGAGGUUGUUGUUUAAGUCAGCGGUGAAAGUUUGUGGCUUAACCAUAAAAUUGCCGUUGAAACUGGAAGACUUGAGUGUGUUUGAGGUAGGCGGAAUGCGUGGUGUAGCGGUGAAAUGCAUAGAUAUCACGCAGAACUCCGAUUGCGAAGGCAGCUUACUAAGCCAUAACUGACACUGAAGCACGAAAGCGUGGGGAUCAAACAGGAUUAGAUACCCUUGUAGUC
rnacentral:rRNA from 1 species